UAGGGGAGGCGAUGGUGUAGUGGUUUAGGCGUUGGGCUUGAUACCAGAAGACCCUCGGUUCAAAUCCCAGCUUGACUGGACAAUCACUAAGGGCCCUUGGGCAAGGCCUUUAAUCCUUGCCCAAGGGUGUGAAAUGUGUGCAUGAAUGCCA